rnacentral:rRNA from 1 species
AACGAACGCUGGCGGCAGGCUUAACACAUGCAAGUCGAACGCCCCGCAAGGGGAGUGGCAGACGGGUGAGUAACGCGUGGGAACGUACCUUUCAGUUCGGAAUAACUCAGGGAAACUUGUGCUAAUACCGGAUACGCCCGCAAGGGGAAAGAUUUAUCGCUGAAAGAUCGGCCCGCGUUGGAUUAGCUAGUUGGUGGGGUAAAGGCCUACCAAGGCGACGAUCCAUAGCUGGUCUGAGAGGAUGAUCAGCCACACUGGGACUGAGACACGGCCCAGACUCCUACGGGAGGCAGCAGUGGGGAAUAUUGGACAAUGGGCGCAAGCCUGAUCCAGCCAUGCCGCGUGUGUGAUGAAGGCCUUAGGGUUGUAAACUGCUUUUCCCGGGGCGAAUAACCCCCUCGCAGGGGAGUGCGGUACCGGGGAAGUAAGGAUCGGCUAACUCCGUG